rnacentral:rRNA from 1 species
UAAGACAGAGGUGCCGAGCGUUAGGCGGAAUCACUGGGCUUAAAGCGUGUGUAGGCGGGCCGUUAAGUGCCCCGUGAAAUCCCCCGGCUCAACCGGGGAACGGCGGGGCAUACUGGCGGCCUUGAGCCACUUAAGGGCAGACGGAACAAGCGGUGGAGCGGUGAAAUGCGUAGAUAUCGCUUGGAACGCCGACGGCGAAAGCAGUCUGCUGGGGGUGUGCUGACGCUGAGACACGAAAGCCAGGGGAGCGAACGGGAUUAGAUACCCCGGUAGUCCUGGCCGUAAACGAUGUCGACUAGGUCGCGGGCGCCUCUGACGGUGCUCGCGGCCGAAGCAAAAGUGCUAAGUCGACCGCCUGGGAAGUACGGUCGCAAGGCUA